rnacentral:rRNA from 1 species
AUUGCAGUCUGCAACUCGACUGCAUGAAGCCGGAAUCGCUAGUAAUCGCGGAUCAGAAUGCCGCGGUGAAUACGUUCCCGGGUCUUGUACACACCGCCCGUCACACCAUGGGAGUCGGAAAUGCCCGAAGUCAGUGACCCAACCGCAAGGAGGGAGCUGCCGAAGGUGGAGCCGGUAACUGGGGUGAAGUCGUAACAAGGUACC